rnacentral:piRNA from 1 species
UAGAACAAAGGAGUGUGGUCAGGGUGGAA